rnacentral:lncRNA from 1 species
AAAUAUUUUAAGUCAAAAUCAUGCCCUCUCUGUGGAUUCGACCUGACUCACUAUUUUUUAUAUAUUUUUAGUUUUUAUUGAAGUCAAAAUUUGAUUGAUAAUCAUGAUGUCCUAAUGACAACAUCGUGAUUACAUCAAAUUCAGUGACGGAAGGCUGCUGGGUGUAGUCAAGUACUUGACUUGUCGGUGCAUGUGUCAAGAUGGGAUU